rnacentral:rRNA from 1 species
AGAGUUUGAUCCUGGCUCNGAUUGAACGCUGGCGGCAUGCCUUACACAUGCAAGUCGAACGGCAGCACGGGAGCAAUCCUGGUGGCGAGUGGCGAACGGGUGAGUAAUACAUCGGAACGUGCCCAGUUGUGGGGGAUAGCCCGGCGAAAGCCGGAUUAAUACCGCAUACGACCUACGGGUGAAAGCGGGGGAUCGCAAGACCUCGCGCAAUUGGAGCGGCCGAUGGCAGAUUAGCUUGUUGGUGGGGUAAAAGCCUACCAAGGCGACGAUCUGUAGCUGGUCUGAGAGGACGACCAGCCACACUGGGACUGAGACACGGCCCAGACUCCUACGGGAGGCAGCAGUGGGGAAUUUUGGACAAUGGGCGCAAGCCUGAUCCAGCCAUGCCGCGUGUGGGAAGAAGGCCUUCGGGUUGUAAACCACUUUUGUCAGGGAAGAAACGGUCUGAUCUAAUAAAUCGGACUAAUGACGGUACCUGAAGAAUAAGCACCGGCUAACUACGUGCCAGCCGCCGCGGUAAUUC